GGAUUGCAUUGGCAAACUACUCAAUAGAAAUUUAUAAAGGAUACUUUAAGAGCAGGAAAUCCCUUGUCAGGCAGAAAGCACUAUAGGCAGACAAUUCUCAUGUCCAAUGACUCCCACAUUAAAAAAAAAUGUUUCAUAUGAUUGAAAUCAUUUCAUUACCCAGCUCAUUCCUCUUAUCUGGACAUAGGUUUAUGAAGUGUGGAACCUCAUGUUGACAGAGCAGCA
rnacentral:lncRNA from 1 species